GACGAACGCUGGCGGCGUGCCUAAUACAUGCAAGUAGAACGCUGAAGGAGGAGCUUGCUUCUCUGGAUGAGUUGCGAACGGGUGAGUAACGCGUAGGUAACCUGCCUGGUAGCGGGGGAUAACUAUUGGAAACGAUAGCUAAUACCGCAUAAUAGUAGAUGUUGCAUGACAUUUGCCUAAAAGGUGCAAUUGCAUCACUACCAGAUGGACCUGCGUUGUAUUAGCUAGUUGGUGGGGUAACGGCUCACCAAGGCGACGAUACAUAGCCGACCUGAGAGGGGGGUCGGCCAACCUUGGACUGAGACACGGCCCAGACUCCUACGGGAGGCAGCAGUAGGGAAUCUUCGGCAAUGGACGGAAGUCUGACCGAGCAACGCCGCGUGAGUGAAGAAGGUUUUCGGAUCGUAAAGCUCUGUUGUAAGAGAAGAACGAGUGUGAGAGUGGAAAGUUCACACUGUGACGGUAUCUUACCAGAAAGGGACGGCUAACUACGUG
rnacentral:rRNA from 1 species